GCCUGAGUAGCUCAGUGGUAGAGCAACGCAUUCGUAAUGCGUAGGUCGUCAGUUCGACUCUGACCUCAGGCUCCA
rnacentral:tRNA from 1 species